GACGGAGGAUGCAAGCGUUAUCCGGAAUGAUUGGGCGUAAAGCGUCCGCAGGUGGCAGUUCAAGUCUGCUGUCAAAGACCGGGGCUUAACUUCGGAAAGGCAGUGGAAACUGAACAGCUAGAGUAUGGUAGGGGCAGAGGGAAUUCCUGGUGUAGCGGUGAAAUGCGUAGAGAUCAGGAAGAACACCAAUGGCGAAAGCAGCUCUCUGGGACGGUACUGACGCUGAGACGCGAAAGCGUGGGGAGCGAACAGG
rnacentral:rRNA from 1 species